UGGGGAAUAUUGGACAAUGGGCGCAAGCCUGAUCCAGCAAUGCCGCGUGAGUGAUGGAGGCCUUAGGGUUGUAAAGCUCUUUCGCACGCGACGAUGAUGACGGUAGCGUGAGAAGAAGCCCCGGCUAACUUCGUGCCAGCAGCCGCGGUAAUACGAAGGGGGCUAGCGUUGUUCGGAAUUACUGGGCGUAAAGGGCGCGUAGGCGGCCUGUUUAGUCAGAAGUGAAAGCCCCGGGCUCAACCUGGGAAUAGCUUUUGAUACUGGCAGGCUUGAGUUCCGGAGAGGAUGGUGGAAUUCCCAGUGUAGAGGUGAAAUUCGUAGAUAUUGGGAAGGACACCGGUGGCGAAGGCGGCCAUCUGGACGGACACUGACGCUGAGGCGCGAAAGCGUGGGGAGCAAACA
rnacentral:rRNA from 1 species